GUUAGACGAGACAAGUUCAGAGUUCUUAUCGCUGUGUAGUUAAAAACACACCUUUGAAUACUCUCACACCAGAAGAUACACUCGACCACGUACGAGCAGUACAGCCACGAAUGAUUAUCGUUCGUUCGAAUGACGAUGAUGAUGACCGAUGAUGACGAUUCAUUUGGACACAAAUUUUCACUUCGCGACACUAGAACUACCAACGACCGAGGCACAGAAUUUGAGCAUCAUCAGAGUGACGUGGAAAUUGAUAGUUUAUCAGAAGACAGUUAGACUUCCAAAAAUGGCAAAUUUGCAAAACCUGUUGUACACG